CGAGCGCGCGGCCGGGGGUGGGGCCUGCUCGCCUCUUUCGCGGGGAGACUUCUUCCUCCAGACGGACGCGUAGACUGCUCGCCCGGCUCCAGCGCCCGCUUCGCAGCAAUUAUGUACUAUCGGGGGGGAAAAAUCGCUGAAAAAGCUAUAGCAAUCUCAUCGUCAAGAGAGAGUCACUAUUAACAAUUUGGGAUACAUAAACAGAUAUUCGUGUUACAUAAAUGGGGUGCUAAUGUGAUCUACUGUUUAAUACAUGAAGGACUUUUUCUAUAUCAAUGCAUAAACAUCUUUCCACUGCCUUCUCAACUUGCACUGAUUUGGACCCAAAGCCUGUAAAGCAAGAAUUUUCUUCUCCCUGAACCUUGACCAAGUGGCCAACCUUAGCAAAGAAACUCCUAAAAGAUUUAAUAAAAUAUCACUGCAGUGGCCAAGAUGUUGGAUAGAAAUAAGCUGAAUUCAGGAGGAACCAAAAUGGAAAUGUUACCGAACCGAACUUGGGUCUGCUCGCCCGCUGCACAGCAAAGCCAAUCUACUGACACCGGGUUGUGGUGAAGGAAAGUACAGCGUUUAUUUGCAGGGUGCCAAGCAAGGAAAACAGGCAGCUCGUGUUCAAAAGACCCGAACUCCCCGAUGGCUUUCAGGGAAGGGUUUUUUAAGGCCAACAUUUGGGGCAAGGGUUGCAGCUCGUGGACUUUCUUCUGAUUGGUUGGUGGUGAGGUAACAGGGUGAUUUUUCGGGAUUCUUAAUCAUUAACCUUCUGGUUCCAACCAGUCUGGGGUCUGCCUUCCUGUUAGCAUGUAGUCACCAUCCUCCACUGGGUGGGGGGGUCUUAGUUUCUGCAGAAAAACUCAAAGAUAUGCUUCAGAUUGUUAUGUAUAUCCCUUGAAGAGGAACUAGUACUCUGUUUUACUGCUGAAAUAUUGUUUAAGCUAUCAUUACUUUUCUUGCCUAACUGCUUUUCCUUUGUUUCUGCAUUCCCUCACUUCCCUAAUUUGUAACUGUUUGAGUCUGCUUUUUGGAACCAGGGAAGGCCUAGGAGACUAAAGCCUUUUUCUACAAACAAGAAAUGGGGGACAUGGAGGGGCUUUUGUAACUGGGAGGGCCCCACAGGGUCCUGCUUGGUCUCAGUCCCCCCUUUUCUUUGAUACUUCUCAAUCCUAAAGGGAGCAGGGGUGGGACAAGAAAGGGAGUAAAGUUUUGGAUAGAGAGGUUAAUCAUAAACUCGUCAGGGGAACUUGGUCUUAGGGGGACUUGGUUUCAGAAACUCCUUGAGGGUAAAUCAUGAUGUGUUUAUGAAAAUAUGAAAAAAAUAAGACUUGGAAGUCUAGCUGUCCUAUCCACAAAAAGCCCUCAAUGAAACAAAAAAGUCUAUCUUGACCUUAAAUCAAACAUGUAUUCAUUUGUAUGUUUUAAGUUAGAUAAAAUAUUAAGGUUAUGUGUGUAUGUAUUUUAAAAAUCAUCUUAUUGACCAAUUUUUAAAAAGUUAACUCACCAACUACUGGGUCUUAUCAGAUAAGAGGGCUUUUAUCUUACACUGAUAAAAUGAAAUAGUAUGCAAUAGUAUGCAAUCUUUAAACAUACUGUUUUGAAUUAUAUAUAAUCUCAUAUAGAGGUGCUCAUCAUAUAUGGUUAAAUGAGAGAGGAGACUAUAGAAUAGAAUGGGUAGUACCAUUCCAUUUUUGUAAAAACAUGUUUAGAACAAAGAAGAAUAUAUGGCAAAUGUAAAUGGUGGGUAGUGGAAUUACGGCUGAUUUUAUGCUCUUUAUUUCUUAAUUUUUAUAAUUGUACUAUCAUUUUGUUUUACUUUCAUAAUAAAAAUUAAUAAAUUAAUAAAUA